CUCUCACUCUCUCUCCUGCCACUAUGUGAAGAAGAUGUUUGCUUCCCCUUUGCCUUCUACUAUGAUUCUAAGUUUCCUGAGGCCUCCCAGUGAUGCUUCCUGUUAAGCCUGCAGAACUGACAUGAAACUUCUCAACCUGAUAAAAAUGAGCUUUCCUAAUAACUUGGGACCUACCUGUCUAAAAAUAAACUAUCGUAGCCAUGAGUGAUCCAACAAAAUCUGAGACCAGAGACUCAUUUUCUUCUCAAAUGCUUUCUCCAGAAGAUUUUUUUAAGAACAAGGAAUCUUCAGGGGCCAAAUCCUGACACAACGAGGCACCUUCUGAAUUCUCUCUCCAAUAAAAGCUUACUUCAAGACUGGAACCCACUCCCAGAUACAGACUGACUACAAGAUUGACUGUGAUUAAUUUGUAACCUGGUAGGGCCCUCAAUGGCCCCAGCCCCUACAUCAGAGGGAACAAUAAUUCAAGAUGAGCCAUUGGAGCAAGUCUCAUCACCUGGCACUUCCUAGCAUUCCCUGCCUCUUCUGCAUUCCAAACUCUCUCUUAAAAAACCCCUGCAUUCCCUCCAAAAAUUGAAAAGUAAAAUUUUUCUUAGCCACUCUUCCCCUUGCUGGCACGAAUAAUAAAGUUUCAGUCUUUUUCUAUCA